rnacentral:rRNA from 1 species
UACGUAGGGGGCUAGCGUUGUCCGGAAUCAUUGGGCGUAAAGCGCGUGUAGGCGGCCCGGUAAGUCCGCUGUGAAAGUCGAGGGCUCAACCCUCGAAUGCCGGUGGAUACUGUCGGGCUAGAGUACGGAAGAGGCGAGUGGAAUUCCUGGUGUAGCGGUGAAAUUCGUAGAUAUCAAGCGGAACACCGGUGGCGAAGGCGGCCUUCUGGACAGUGACUGACGCUGAGACGCGAAAGCGUGGGGAGCAAACAGG